GGCGGAAGAGGAGACAGGGCGACUUCCGGUGGUGCGGGCUGGGUUCUAAGCGGUGUGGCUCUUCGCCAGGGACAGGCCCUGAGGUAGAGCCGGGCUGGACGGUGACUGGGGUUUGGAGGGUGUGGCUGUGCUUCUGGGCUCUGCCCACCUCGGUGCCUGGUGCCUCUGCAGCAGGAUAAAACCCAUGUUUCUUAGUGUCCGGAGAACUCUCCAGAAUGUGGCCUAGGCCUGUGUUUCCAGUUUCUCCACCAUGGUCCCCCGGUGCCCACGCCUGGGGCUCCAUCCACCUGCCAUGCCAGCUCCAGACCUUCCUGCUAAAACACUGCUCUCUUCACAGAGCAUGGUGAAGCAUUUCAUUAACAGACACCGCAGUUAUUUGGCCCUUCUCUGCCUGCCUUGUUAAAGAACAUGGGCUGGAACUGGAAGAAUUGGAGAUCAACUCUUGCCAGCUUGGCCACCUUUCCAUCCACUUCAAUAAGACACAGUGUUUACAAUAUUGAGCAAAACGCCUGCCACUUACUUAAUAGUUAAUAAAUGUUACUUCUUAGUUUCCU
ensembl:lincRNA